ACAUGCCUCACUUGGUAUAUUAUAUCAUCUUUUUCUAGGUUGAUGUUUUUGGCCAAUUCAAGACAGUAAAGUGUUCUUCCAUCUGAUUGAAAUUGGUUGGCUUGAACUGGGUCUUGCGGAUUGAAUGAUGAUCUCCAAUUAUUCAGGAGACCUGUCUUGUUUAUUAUCACAAAUCCUUCAAUGUAAUUGAACGUGUUCUCUGCAGAUAUCAAAUGCUUCUGGUCUCUGAUGAAUGCGGAGAAGUCUGAGUACAAAACUCUUAUCCAUUUUACUUGUUCGGAAUGGCAUGGUGUUAUGAAACUGAGAAAUUCUUGCUCGUGUGAUUAUGCCAAACUGGCCAAUUCCUCCAAGGACACCAUGAAAGAGACCAUGACGGAAUGCCUGCCCACUAAUCCCUGCAUUUGACAAAGUACCGCCAACUGUGAGAUGUAGGUAAUCUGUCCAAGACUUCGGUGCUAACCCAUGUUUCAGGCUUUCAUGCAGGAUAUUAAUCCACAAUUUGCCACCAUAGACAUCUACAUAAGGAUGUUUUCCAAUGUAAACCUGCAUUUCCAUUCCACUGAAUGAUUCCAUGUUGAUCACGACUCCUCUGUGAGCUUGUGCCUGGCCCUGCAUUUCCAUUCCAUUGUGAGUUUUCUUAAUUUGUUUAAUUAUUUUCCCAUAACUCAUUGAAUUCAGCCAAAAUUCCUCACCUUCUUUGUGGUGUAUUUUGAUUUCUUUUUCUUGAUCAUAUUUUGUGGUUUUUGAAUCAAAGAGGAAAGAGAGAGAGGUGGGGAAUUCCUACUAAGU